rnacentral:rRNA from 1 species
CUGAUUCUGGCGGCUCGGGUCAAGACGCUGGCAGGAUGCUUUACACAUGCAAAUCGAACGGCAGCACGGACUUCAGUCUGGUGGCGAAGUGGCGAACAGGUGAGUAAUGUAUCGGAACGUGCCUAGUAGCGGGGGAUAACUGCGCGAAAGCGUAGCUAAUACCGCAUACGCCCUUCGGAAAGCAGGGGACGCUGGGGCCUCGCACUAAUGAAGCGGCCGAUAUCGGAUUGGCUAGUUGGUGGGAAGUAACAGCGGCUCACCGGGCGACGAUCCGUAGCUGGUUUGAGGACGACCAGCCACACUGGGACUGAGACACGGCCCAGACUCCUACGGGGAGGCAGCAGUGAAAUUUUUGGACAAUGGGGGAAACCCUGAUCCAGCCAUCCGCGUGUGCGAUGAAGGCCUUCCGGGUUGUAAAGCACUUUUGGCAGGAAAGAAACGGCACGGGAUAAUACCCCGUGCAACUGACCAGUACCUGCAGAAUAAGCACCGGCUAACUACGUGCCAGCAGCCACGGUAAUACGUAGGGUGCAAGCGUUAAUCGGAAUUACUGGGCGUAAAGCGUGCGCAGGCGGUUCGGAAAGAAGAUGUGAAAAUCCCAGAGCUUAACUUUGGAACUGCAUUUUUAACUACAAGGCUAGAGUGUGUCAAAAAAGGAGGUGGAAUUCCGCGUGUAGUGAAAUGCGGCUUGAAUGUGCGGAGGAACUUUACCAUUAGCGAAAGGCAUCUGGGAUAACACUGGCGCUCAUGCACGAAAGCGUGGGGCAAACAGGAUUAGAUACCCUGGUAGUCCACGCCCUAAACGAUGUCAACUAGCUGUUGGGGCCUUCGGGCCUUGGUAGCGCAGCUAACGCGUGAAGUUGACCGCCUGGGGAGUACACGGUCGCAAGAUUAAAACUCAAAGGAAUUGACGGGGACCCGCACAAGCGGUGGAUGAUGUGGACAAUUCGAUGCAACGCAAAAACCUUACCUACCCUUGACAUGUCUGGAAUCCCGAAGAGAUUUGCAGGGUGCUCGCAAGAGAACCGGAACACAGGUGCUGCAUGGCUGUCGUCAGCUCGUGUCGUGAGAUGUUGGGUUAAGUCCGCAACGAGCGCAUUUCUUGUCAUUAGUUGCUACGAAAGGGCACUCUAAUGAGACUGCCGACAAACCGGAGGAAGGUGGGGAUGACGUCAAGUCCUCAUGGCCCAUAUGGGUAGGGCUUCACACGUCAUACAAUGGUCGGGACAGAGGGUCGCCAACCCGCGAGGGAGCAAUCCCAGAAACCCGAUCGUAGUCCGGAUCGCAGUCUGCAACUCGACUGCGUGAAGUCGGAAUCGCUAGUAAUCGCGGAUCAGCAUGUCGCGGUGAAUACGUUCCCGGGUCUUGUACACACCGCCGUCACACCAUGGGAGUGGGUUUUACCAGAAGUAGUUAGCCUAACCGUAAGGAGGCGAUUACCACGGUAGGAUUCAUGACUGGGGUGAAGUCGUAACAAAGGUAG